rnacentral:rRNA from 1 species
UACGUAGGGACCAAGCGUUGUUCGGAUUUACUGGGCGUAAAGGGCGCGUAGGCGGCUUGUCAAGUCACUUGUGAAAUCUCUGGGCUUAACCCAGAACGGCCAAGUGAAACUGACAUGCUAGAGUGCAGAAGGGGCAAUCGGAAUUCUUGGUGUAGCGGUGAAAUGCGUAGAUAUCUGGAGGAACACCGGUGGCGAAGGCGGCAUCCUGGACCGACACUGACGCUGAGGAGCGAAAGCCAGGGGAGCAAACGGG